CUGGUUUGGAGCAGUGUCACACUCCUAGUCCGGUUGAACAUGUACUGGAGUUGGGAGGCAGGAGCAGUCAGUGAACGGGCUGAGGAGAGGGAGAAAUUCCAGCCGGGCUCAAGUUCUGUCAUCACCUCCCUUACCGCUGUCUGAAAAAGGAGGUUUUCUGCAGAUUGAUCAGAGCAGCCGCAGCCCAGGACGGGAGAGGAAUCGAUGACUCAGCGCUGAACUGUUGAGACUAGAAAGGUGCUUCUGUUAAGUCAUCAGUUUCCCUUCCUGGUAGACAGCAGCUUCACUCUCCUAUUUGCACAAAGCUUCCUGCUCCAGCAGCAUCAGCCCAGCUUGGGCACAGGGUGAGGACAAGGGCUUCAUUGUUAUAACAGAGGGACACAGAGGGCAACUGGGGCCCUUCACGGCUUCAGGCGUCCCCCUGUGGCGACAACCUUCGCAACCAAAGGCUGGUGCGGUGCCUAGGACAGGCUCCCUGGAAGUGACAUGGCAACAGGCACCUGUGAGGUAUUGGAGAGAGACCUGGAGUGUCCUGAGGCCAUAGAAGAGUUGCCAAUGCUGGCAGAGAGAAUUCCAAGGCUCUCGAGGGAGGACGUGAGAAAAGAUGCUGAAGUGCCACAAAGCGAAGAGGAGGUAAACAGUAGCUCACAUGU